GACUCUUUGGGACUUUGCCCUCUCACAAUAUAUUGCAGAUAUAUCACUUCAAGUUCCGAACUCGAACUGUGCUCUGGCUGGCUCACCUCUUCCAACAGAGCCAGGGAUGGCUAAACGAACUGCACGGUACGGAGUGAUCACACUAGUCAAAUUAACUUGGCUUUGGGGGUCAAACGCACUUGGGUAUGGUUCAGAUCGCCUAGUGUGAGUGCACCCUUUGCUAUCAAAUUAAAUACUGCAUCUCCUAAUGUUUUCAAGUCUAACUUACCUGCACUCCCCCUCCUCUCCAGCUGAUCCAAAAGCUUCGGAACUCAUCCCAGGAUAGGAUUCCUGGCGUUGGGGCACUGGCUACAGGCUCUCCCAUCUUACCCUGUGAGAUCCAGGAGCGUGAGUUUUGCCGUCCACCCAAGACAAUUUCCACCAUUUCGGUGCUGUCAUGUGCACUGGGCGAGAGGGCAAUGUGUGCGUCGUUAUGACUUUUGAUGGCCACUUGUACGUGCGUGACUUUCGCUGGCUUCUUGACGUAUUGAUACUCAUAUUUGUUGGGUGUGGAGAUAUGGAUUCGUUCUGCGAAAUAAAAAAAGACACUGUAUGUGUACUCUCUAGGUAAACCUUCAGGCUAUGGAAAAGCAAGAAGAAGGGAUAUUUAAGCAACUGAAAUGCUAAAAAAAAAAAAAACACACUCCUUGAAAAUCACAUAAAUCACAAAAUUACUUAACUCCUCUGCACAUUCUUUAAAGGAUUAGUUCACUUCCAGAAUAAAAAAAAAUCCAAAAAAUUUACAAACUCUCAUGUCAUCCAAGAUGUUCAUGUCUUUAUUACUUCAGUCAAAAAGAAAUUAAGAUUUCUGAGGAAAACAUUACAGGAUUUUUCUCCAUAUAGUAGACUUCAGUGGUGGCCAGUGGGUUGAAGGUCUAAACUGCAGAUUCAAUGCAGCUUCAAAGGACUCUAAAUGAUACCAUUUGAUUAAUAAGUGUCUUAUCUAGUGAAACGAUCAGUCAUUU
ensembl:lncRNA